AUAUGUGUGAAGGAGUGGUUUUAUUAAAUCAGUGGGAACAAGGAAACACAUGAUUUAAUAAAAUCAUCAA
rnacentral:ncRNA from 2 species